CUGGCUAUCCAGUAGCACCUAUUCUAACCUUACAGGGCAGAGCCAGGUGAAACAUCAGAACAGGGAGAAGACUCUAGAAACUGAGAAUUGACUUGAAUUUGACUUAGAUUUCAACGCACUUAUUAAGUAACUACUGUGCAUUGGGCCUGUGCUAGUGCCAGGGACACAAAGACCAGGAUAGCACGGGCUGUUUCUCAAGAAGCUCUCAGGCUGCUGGGGGAGAAAGGCACAGGAACGAAGUGGCAGUGCCUUGUGGAGAGAAAACACUUGGCCAAAGCUCUUCACUGAGGGACCUGAAUUCAGAAGACCUGAACUGCAGCCAAGAUGCCAACCCUGUCUCUACAGCAAUGACAACCGGAGGACCCUCCCAUUUGGAAACCUUAACCUCUAUUAUGCUGAGGAACAGUUUGGUAAAUUUCACAUAAAAUGUACAUCAGACUAUAUUCUUGAAAGACAGCCAGGGCAGAUCAUCCUACGAAAGGAACGGAACUACAUGGAGCUUGAGACGGAUGCAGGAGCCCUGGCUGGAUGGGUCACGACUCCGAGGGCCAGUCCCUCCU
rnacentral:lncRNA from 1 species